AUUUAAAAGAUUAGCCUCUCUGAUCCUCACUCACCCUGGAAAAAGGAGGAUUUCACCUGAGCCUCCACAUUCUACCCCUGCUAGGGUCAGAGCUGGAGCAAAGGACAUUAGGCAUUGCUAGAGGUAAAAGGAGCUGGAGAAAAGAGGAUUUUCCAGAGCUUCUCUCCCAGAAAGAAAGAAGCAUGUUGGUUGAACUACUUUGAUGAGCAAGUGGGGAUGAGUGUCCAGGCUCUGAGUUUAAAUAAGUCUACUUUAAGGAAGAC
rnacentral:lncRNA from 10 species